rnacentral:misc_RNA from 1 species
GAUGAAGAACGCAGCGAAAUGCGAUACGUAAUGUGAAUUGCAGAAUUCAGUGAAUCAUCGAGUCCUUGAACGCACAUUGCGCCCUCUGGUAUUCCGGAGGGCAUGCCUGUCCGAGCGUCAUUGCUGCCCUCAAGCACGGCUUGUGUGUUGGGCCCCGCCCCCCGAUCCCGGGGGGCGGGCCCGAAAGGCAGCGGCGGCACCGCGUCCGGUCCUCGAGCGUAUGGGGCUUUGUCACCCGCUCUGUAGGCCCGGCCGGCGCCUGCCGAUCAACCAAACUUUUUUCCAGGUUGACCUCGGAUCAGGUAGGGAUACCCGCUGAACUUAAGCAUAUCAAUAAGCGGAGGA